GCUAACGAGCCCACAGCCCUACGCGGCGGGAGGGAGCCAGUUGUCGGGCGGGGCGACAGCGGUCACACAGCAUUAGCCCUGCGGCCGCCCCGCCAGGUGCGGCCACUGCCCCUAAUCCCUGGCCCGCCCUGCUAAGCCCGGCCUGAGCAAUGCCACAGCUGGGGGCGGCCGGCCACGCGCCGCCCCUCACCGCAGCCCAGCUUUCCCCACCCCACCCCAACCCCUGGCGUGUGCCCUGAACCCCAAUCGAUCUCCAGCCCUGCAUAGCAAUCCAGCCCAGCUGGUCAUUGACCCUGUGCCCCCAACCUGGACUCUAAGCAUCUCCAUGGCUCCCCGCAAUGCCUCUCCUCUUGGUUCACCUGCCUCUGCUAUUGUUGGGAAGCUUGCUCUCCAAGAUAGAGCCUUCAUAGAUCUCAGCUACGGAUAGACACAGAGCUGCGAAUGCCCUUGAACUUGUGAUCCUUCAACAUCCACCUGAGGUGUUCAACUUACAGUUUCAGGAGCAGCAGCAGGGCUCUGAAGGACACAAGGUGGCUUCCAGAGCACAGAUGAAGAUGUUGGCUGGGUUGGGGCUCAUCUCAAGGCCUGACUGGGGAGAAGCCACACCCAUCUUACUCCAUCUUACUGGGAGCCUCAGUUUCUUGUCAUGUGGGGCAGCUCACAACAUGGCUGCUGGCUUCUCUUUAGAGAAAGUGAACGAAGAAAGCAUGCAAAGACAUAGAGCACCUGAAGCAAGCUAAGAUGUGAUGCCCCAUUGUUACGGAAUGUCAAGAGGGAAGCAGGCAGCACUAGUAGCCUUCUUACAGGAGCUCUGGUCCCUUGGUAGAUAUUUAUUUAUUAAAUGAUCAUCAGAGAACACUGCUCCUACUGACUACCAUCUUCAAACAGUUUCUCAUCCCCCAUCCCACCUCAUUUUUCUCUUUGUGGAUACUGUUUACAAUGAGAAUUUUAAAAUGUAUUUAAACCUCAGGCCAAUCGAGAAUAUUGCUGUUGUUGUCACCUUCAUGUCC
rnacentral:lncRNA from 1 species